GUGGGGAAUAUUGGACAAUGGGGGGAACCCUGAUCCAGCCAUGCCGCGUGUGUGAAGAAGGCCUUUUGGUUGUAAAGCACUUUAAGCGAGGAGGAGGCUACCGAGAUUAAUACUCUUGGAUAGUGGACGUUACUCGCAGAAUAAUCACCGGCUAACUCUGUGCCAGCAGCCGCGGUAAUACAGAGGGCGCAAGCGUUAAUCGGAUUUACUGGGCGUAAAGCGCGCGUAGGUGGCCAAUUAAGUCAAAUGUGAAAUCCCCGAGCUUAACUUGGGAAUUGCAGUCGGUACUGGUUGGCUAGAGUAUGGGAGAGGAUGGUAGAAUUCCAGGUGUAGCGGUGAAAUGCGUAGAGAUCUGGAGGAAUACCGAUGGCGAAGGCAGCCAUCUGGCCUAAUACUGACACUGAGGUGCGAAAGCAUGGGGAGCAAACAGGAUUAGAAACCCGUGUAGUCC
rnacentral:rRNA from 1 species